GUUAUUCAACAUAAUUCAAAUUCAAAUUUCAAGUAUUAUCCAAGACAUUCAAGAAGAAACAAGAUUCAUUCAAGUUCACUCAAAAGAUUUCAUUUUCAAAUGGAAUUCAUAAUUUCUUUUCAAUCCACAUUGUGCCAUUACAUGUUGAAACAUUACAAAGAAGAUUACAAGAAAGAAAGAGUUACAUCAAAGAGAAAUCUAUGCCAAACCUAUCCUUAUCUUCAAAUCCAACUUCAUGCUUCCAUCUACAUGCUUUUGCUCCCAUCUUCAACCGUUCCUCGUGUUUGCUCCAUGAAAUUCCACUUCACCAACUUCACAUCUUCAUCGACUUUAAAUAUUUUGACAGCUCUAUAA